rnacentral:rRNA from 1 species
CAAUAGCGUAUUCUAACGUUGCUGCAGUUAAAAGGCUCGUAGUCGAACCUAUGGCUUUUUUUUGCGGGCCUGGCCCCGUGCCAAGUUGCACGCGUGUUUGCCGGCGCCCGCGAGCCAUCCUUCUGGAGAGCGCCCCUGCCCUUGAUUGGGUCGGGCGGCGCAAUCCAGAUCCUUUACUGUGAGUAAAUCAGAGUGUUCAAAGCAGGCUUGCGCAGCUUGUAUGCAUUAGCAUGGAAUAAUGAGAUAGGACUUGGGUCUCUAUUUCGUUGGCUUUCAGGAACCAAGUAAUGAUGAAAAGGGAUAGUUGGGGGUGCUAGUAUUCAGUGGUCAGCGGUGAAAUGCAUGGACCCACUGAAGACUAACUCAUGCGAAAGCAUUCACCAAGGAUAUCUUCUUUGA